rnacentral:rRNA from 1 species
GUAGGGGGCAAGCGUUAUCCGGAUUUACUGGGUGUAAAGGGAGCGUAGACGGUGUUGCAAGUCUGAUGUGAAAGGCGGGGGCUCAACCCCUGGACUGCAUUGGAAACUGUGAUACUUGAGUGCCGGAGAGGUAAGCGGAAUUCCUAGUGUAGCGGUGAAAUGCGUAGAUAUUAGGAGGAACACCAGUGGCGAAGGCGGCUUACUGGACGGUAACUGACGUUGAGGCUCGAAAGCGUGGGGAGCAAA